rnacentral:rRNA from 1 species
CCUACGGGAGGCAGCAGUGAGGAAUAUUGGUCAAUGGGCGCGAGCCUGACCCAGCCAAGUAGCGUGAAGGAUGACUGCCCUACGGGUUGUAAACUUCUUUUAUAAAGGAAUCAAGUGAGGCACGUGUGCCUUUUUGUAUGUACUUUAUGAAUAAGGACCGGCUAACUCCGUGCCAGCAGCCGCGGUAAUACGGAGGAUCCGAGCGUUAUCCGGAUUUAGUGGGUUUAAAGGGAGCGUAGAUGGGUUGUUAAGUCAGUUGUGAAAGGUUGCGGCUCAACCGUAAAAUUGCACUUGAUACUGGCAGCCGUGAGGACAGUUGAGGUAGGCGGAAUUCGUGGUGUAGCGGUGAAAUGCUUAGAUAUCACGAAGAACGCCGAUUGCGAAGGCAGCCUACUAAACUGCCACUGACAUUGAUGCUCGAAAGUGUGGGUAUCAAACAGGAUUAGAUACCCUAGUAGUC